AUGACGAGCUUGCUCUGAUUUGAUUUUUUGAUUUCAAAGAGUGGCGAACGGGUGAGUAACACGUGGGUAACCUACCUCUUAGCAGGGGAUAACAUUUGGAAACAAGUGCUAAUACCGUAUAAUAUCAACAACCGCAUGGUUGUUGAUUGAAAGAUGGUUCUGCUAUCACUAAGAGAUGGACCCGCGGUGCAUUAGCUAGUUGGUAAGGUAAUGGCUUACCAAGGCAAUGAUGCAUAGCCGAGUUGAGAGACUGAUCGGCCACAAUGGGACUGAGACACGGCCCAUACUCCUACGGGAGGCAGCAGUAGGGAAUCUUCCACAAUGGGCGCAAGCCUGAUGGAGCAACGCCGCGUGUGUGAUGAAGGGUUUCGGCUCGUAAAACACUGUUAUAAGAGAAGAACGGCACUGAGAGUAACUGUUCAGUGUGUGACGGUAUCUUACCAGAAAGGAACGGCUAAAUACGUGCCAGCAGCCGCGGUAAUACGUAUGUUCCAAGCGUUAUCCGGAUUUAUUGGGCGUAAAGCGAGCGCAGACGGUUAUUUAAGUCUGAAGUGAAAGCCCUCAGCUCAACUGAGGAAUUGCUUUGGAAACUGGAUGACUUGAGUGCAGUAGAGGAAAGUGGAACUCCAUGUGUAGCGGUGAAAUGCGUAGAUAUAUGGAAGAACACCAGUGGCGAAGGCGGCUUUCUGGACUGUAACUGACGUUGAGGCUCGAAAGUGUGGGUAGCAAACAGGAUUAGAUACCCUGGUAGUCCACACCGUAAACGAUGAGUGCUAGAUGUUCGAGGGUUUCCGCCCUUGAGUGUCGCAGCUAACGCAUUAAGCACUCCGCCUGGGGGAGUACGACCGCAAGGUUGAAACUCAAAGGAAUUGACGGGGACCCGCACAAGCGGUGGAGCAUGUGGUUUAAUUCGAAGCAACGCGAAGAACCUUACCAGGUCUUGACAUCCCUUGACAACGCUAGAAAUAGCGCGUUCCCUUCGGGGACAAGGUGACAGGUGGUGCAUGGUUGUCGUCAGCUCGUGUCGUGAGAAUGUUUGGGUUAAGUCCCCGCACCGAGCGCAACCCCUUAUUAUUAAGUUGCCAGCAUUCAGUUGGGCACCUCUAUUUGAGACUGCCGGUGAUAAACCCGAGGAAAAGGGGGGGGAUGACGUCCAAAUCUUCAUGGCCCCUUAUAACCUGGGGGUACACCCUGGUUCAU
rnacentral:rRNA from 1 species